UCCCUGGCGCUCCUCCGCCUAGGUGACGCGCAGUCGCCCCCCCAGGCAGCCCGAGCGGCGGCAGCAGCUGCGGCGUCUGCAAGGGCAGAUUCGGAGUGCUGGGGCCAAGAGGAGCAGAGGCUGCCUUCUGCGCGCGCCCGACACCGUUCGCCCCCCCCUUCGGAAGGUGGGGGCUGGAAGACAUCCCGCGUCCCUGUUCCUCUCCCCGCCGGGCUUGGAAAGACGAACAGGCCAGAGAAAGCAUUUGAUUUAUGAGCUUAGAACGAAUCGCAUCCAGGAGCGCAGCCCUGGCCGCAGCCGGGACGCCCUGCUCGGCGCGGAGCCUGGGCCGGAAGCCGGCCGAGAUCGGCACGCUGCUGCUGCUACUGCUGUGCCGGGAUUUAGCAGUGAAGGAAGGGGUGAGAGGAGGUAGGGAGCAAGCCGGUGAGAAAGAUUGCGAUUUCAUGAGAACGUUCAAGCCUUGGCUGCUAAGGGCUGGGUUCUUAACCGUCCCAUACACAUGUUGCUGCAUUUUCUCACGGUGAGUAGUAGCUCUCAGAAAGGGAAAAAUAAACACGAGGAAACAAGGAGGAGGAAAAAACAGAACAGCUCAGUAACACACCCUAGAUCACAUUUUAUUGAUAUUUCAUUUAAAGUGCUUUUUUUCUCUUUCGCUGUCUAGGAAAGUGGGUUAAUAUAUAAUAUAAUCUAGGGUGCAGAAACACUCCAUUUUAAGUCUCAACUUGCUAACCUGACUUCAAAGCUUUAAUGAUCCAUUAUUAACAAUGUAAACAGAUUUAAGAAUGAAAUAUUGAUUUUUCUGACCCCUGGAAGAAAAGAAAGAAUCCUAGAAUGACUGAACAGACAAUUGGAAAAAAAACCCUUGUGACAUGCAUUUUGCAGCAAGUAACCAUUGUUCUGUUUUAUUUUGUUUUUCUCUAUCUUUUAGGUCUGUUUUGCCUGAACCCAUCAACAGCUGGGAGAUUAAUCAACCACACAGAAAAUGUGCGCGGGCUGGGGGGUGGAGGAGGGGUCGAAUGUAGAUGUUUCAGACAAACGUGUAUAAAUAAAUGAAUUGUUGAUAACUUA